GCAUCAACUCUACCUAGAGGAAAGGAAUACAAGCUACAUUUAUCAAUGAAGAAGUACUCACUUGUCCUAGCUUUCUUCGCACUUGGUUUGCUCAUGAUCUCCAAAACAGUAGUGGUAAGUAGGCAACUUGAGGAUAAACCACUACCAUUCUCUCUUCAAGCAACCGACAAAUGGAAUGAAUACAUUAACAUCGACGGGUUUGUCUCUAGUUCCAAUGUUAUUGGUGAAAAUGGAAACGAGGAGAGAAAGCUAGGAGAAACCAAAGCAGUUGGUGAUCUAUCAAUUGACAAAAACAGUUCCAAUAAUGAUGCAAACAAUUUUACCACACAAAUGAACACUCACUGUGACCUACACAAUAAAAGGAGAUGUAAUGUCAUCCACAAAGCUAUGCUUGCUAGCUAGUUGUAUUAACUACUAUCAUAGUGUAAGAAUAUAUGUGUGUGGAUGAAUUUGCUCGAGUCUAUAUGUAGAGCAAAUCUUAUAUCUAGACUACUAUGAAAUGGAUGUACAACUUGGCCUUUGGUGUGCAUGCUAAAAUAUCUAAUAUUUAUAAAUGAAAUAAAUAAGUUCGUGGCCUCCUAACUUGUGCAUGCUAAAAUAUCUAAUAUUUAUAAAUGAAAUAAAUAAGUUCGUGGCUAGCUAGCUUGGCUUUAA